GUUAAAAAGCUCGUAGUUGGAUUUCUGUUGAGAACGGCCGGUCUGGGCUAUGCUCAUGUAUCUGGUUUGAUCUCGGCAUCCUCUCAAAAUACGUUUCUGCGCUUGAUUGCGUGGAGCGGAGUUUGGGACUUUUACUUUGAGGAAAUUAGAGUGUUCACGGCAGGCAAUCGCCUUGAAUAUAUUAGCAUGGAAUAAUAAUAUAGGAUUUAGGUUCUAUUUUGUUGGUUUCUAGAGCCUUUGUAAUGAUUAAUAGGGACAAUUGGGGGCAUUCGUAUUAACGCGUCAGAGGUGGAAUUCUUGGAUUGCGUUACGACGAACUACUGCGAAAGCAUUUGCCAAGGAUGUUUUCAUUGAUCAAGAACGAAAGUAAGGGGAUCGAAGACGAUUAGAUACCGUCGUAGUCUUUACCAUAAACUAUGCCAACUAGAGAUGGGGUGUCGUUCUUUUCUGACUCACUCCGCACCUUAUGAGAAAUCAAAGUUUCUGGGUUCCGGGGGGAGUAUGGUCGCAAAGCUGAAACUUAAAGGAAUUGACGGAAGGGCACCACCAGGAGUGGAGCCUGCGGCUUAAUUUGACUCAA
rnacentral:rRNA from 1 species